GUCUCGGAGGCGAUUUGGCGGUGGCUGCGGGUGACUGCGGGGCGGGGUCCGGGGUUCGAGCCAGAGUCCGGGGGGAAAGGGGCUAGGUGCUGUGGGGAUGUCACAGACUUCUUUUCGUGGCAAUGCUCUCCGCGUCUUCGUUUUCUGGGGAAACUGAGGCCCAGUGUGGCUAAGUGACUUGCCUGAGUUGACACGGGGAAAGCCAAGAUUCACUCUCUGGUCUGUCUGACCACACCUGCCUGCCUGGUGAUUUGGGGAAGCCAAGCCAGCUGUCAAAAGCAUGCCUCUGUGCCGUUGGGGUGCCACCACCAGGGACAGCAAGCCUGAUGGAGAUGGAGCUCAGCCCAUGGCCACCAAGGGAGGCCUGAAGGUCCUUCUACACUGGGCUGGCCCUGGCGGCGGGGACCCCUGGGUCACCUUCAGCGAGGCCACACUGACUGCAGAGGAGGUCUGCAUCCACAUUGCACAAAA